UACAGAGGGUGCGAGCGUUAAUCGGAAUGACUGGGCGUAAAGGGCGCGUAGGCGGAUAUUUGUGUUGGAUGUGAAAGCCCCGGGCUUAACCUGGGAAUGGCAUACAAAACUGGAUAUCUAGAGUAGAGCAGAGGUGAGUGGAAUUUCCGGAGUAGCGGUGAAAUGCGUAGAUACCGGAAGGAACACCAGUGGCGAAGGCGGCUCACUGGGCUCAAACUGACGCUGAGGCGCGAAAGCGUGGGGAGCAAACAGG
rnacentral:rRNA from 1 species